AGCAGCUUGGCGCAGUGGAAGCGCGGUAUGUCUCUACUCCACCUUGAAUUAAAUACCAGAGUACUAACUCACUAUAGCCGGGCUCAUAACCCGGAGGUCACUGGAUCGAAACCAGUAGCUGCUA
rnacentral:tRNA from 1 species